rnacentral:rRNA from 1 species
UACGUAGGGUGCAAGCGUUGUCCGGAAUUAUUGGGCGUAAAGAGCUCGUAGGCGGUUUGUCGCGUCUGCUGUGAAAACUCGGGGCUUAACUCCGGGCCUGCAGUGGGUACGGGCAGACUAGAGUGCGGUAGGGGAGACUGGAAUUCCUGGUGUAGCGGUGAAAUGCGCAGAUAUCAGGAGGAACACCGGUGGCGAAGGCGGUGGUCUGGGCCGGUACUGACGCUGAGGAGCGAAAGCGUGGGGAGCGAACAGG